GGCGAGUAAUUGAUACUUCUUAAAAUGAGGAGGAAAUGGUGCUCGGUUAUCUCAGAUGAAUCUGACAGAAUAUGCGCUCUUUCAUCCGUAAUUAAAUGUGGAUGUUGAAAGGAGAUGUGCCUUCUUCCGAAAGAUAGCUGGCCUGAUCUCUUCCGACGUAACGCUGUCAUGGGAAAAGAGGACCUUGUGGAUGAAAGGCUACUCGGGAGACCUGGCCGCCCCCUGCAGCGCGUGCUGAGUGAUUGGAUCCCAGCUGCUUUCAUGGCCGUUCUUCUUGGAUGCUUGGGAUAGUUUGUAGACCACCUAUUAGCUAAUAAUGGACCAAUGUUGCCUUUCUUAGGUUAAAGAUCGAGGUCCGGAAGCCACUAGGAGAUUUUUUAAUUGGUUUUAUUGGAGCAUUAACCUGGGAGCGAUCCUGUCGUUAGGUGGCAUUGCCUAUAUUCAGCAGAAC
rnacentral:sRNA from 1 species